AAAUAAAUGAGCGGAAUGAGUACACUUUCCCGAGGGGAAGUGUUUAAAAGGGAAGCCGGUGUAAAUCCGGCGCGGUCCCGCCACUGUAAGGGGGAACCGCUUCACAUGAUGUCACUGGGCGUCGCGCGAUGCUGCGCGCCGGCCCCGGGAAGGCGUGAGGCGGUGAUGACCUUGAGCCAGGAGACCUGCUCGUUCCGGCACCGCAGG
rnacentral:ncRNA from 2 species